CCCAAUAUGAGUGCAACAGAGUCUCCCUUUAUUAUCCGCUACUUACACAAAUAUAUAAAUCGUGGCGAACAUGCGUCAGCGUGUAAUUGGCUGAAGCAUAGUGAAAAGCCCCCUGCCUAAGAAUACUAUUGGUCGUGCAUGUUUUCAUACCAUUCCACUGUCUUAAUCUCUUCCCAGAUCAAAGGUUUUUCUGGCUCUGAUAUGAAACAAUUUAUUCCUUGACGGCAAAGAGUAUAUUCAAGAGUCAUUUGUAUUUAGAAGACUUAAUACAAAAAUGACACAACAAAGUUUUGUGUUCAUACCAGUUCUGAUAGAGGAAAACGAUUAAAUAAAUUCCUAGUACAAGCGAUUUUCAUUCAGUUGAGGCUCCGGAGAAGUAGGAGCUGCUUGCCAUGUAUGAACUAAUCUAUAACUAGAAGCCUGAGGAGAAUCAACUCAAUGCCUCCAGUGACUGCUCUUUCUGCGUCAGGUGGCAACACUGUCACUAAAUUAGAAGGAAGAAGCUCCAAGAAAUCCAGCUGAGUAUGUGUGGAGAAUAUCUGUGCACUUUUGGCACCACCACCACCAAUAAUUUUUCUUUUCUUUUCCCAUUGUCUAGAUUCUUUCAGCUCAUUACAGCCACAUAAGAUGUAGAGCCAGUCAUAUAUGAAACUCAUGGUCUCAUGGUGUUAAUCUGUCCCACAGACAGAUGUCCAAAAAAGAAAGAAGAGGGCACAAAAAUGAAUAAAUAAAUAAAUAGAUAGAUAAAUAGAUAGAUAGAUUCUGGAGGAUGGUAUGAACAAGUUGUAGAUUUUAACUUGUAGGUAUUUAUAUUUCUUAAUGACUCAAACUUCAAUUUCUUUCAACUUAAAAGUUUUAAAAUCUAAUAACAUAUAUAUACACAUACAUAUAUUUGUCUGACAAUGCUGGAGAAUUUUAAAUUUGAAAGUAUUAUUACGAUAGUCUGAAAAACAGCCAUACUUUAGAGGGUUUUUUUGGACUGUUUCAGUUAAGAAAAGUAGUCAAUGAUGGGGUCAUGCAUUUAUUUGACACAGCCAUUUUCAUUCACUAAAAAUAAAGAAAGUGCUGUUUCUCUGAGAACAGGAAUAAACAAAUUACAGGAGACAAGUUCUGUGCUCAAAUCCUCAAGGGCUGUUCAGACAGGAGCUGACCUAAGCCUUCCCUUUGGGUUCCUUUCAGGACAACAUGUAUUUUGCUUUCCACUAGCUGUGUUCAUACUGUCUAGUUGACAUGAAAAGCUUCAUGAGAUUUUCUUCAAAAGUACAUAUUAGUAUAAUCAUAAGUGAGGUAUAAAGACUAAAUAAGCAGAAACCUUUUUCUAUACUUCUAUUCUUUCUGAAUGUUGUUCCUUGAAUACUGAACAGAACUGCUAUUUUUAGGCUUGUAAACACUCAGCUGCAUGUUAUCUUAUAGCUUCCUGAUCACUUACUGACAGCUUUUGAUUUACUU
rnacentral:lncRNA from 1 species